rnacentral:rRNA from 1 species
AGACCCUAUGGAGCUUUAAACUUAUUAUCAUUUAUUUAACCAUAUAACAACUUAAAUAAUAAUAAUGCUCUUUAAUAGUUUUCGGUUGGGGCAACCCUGGGGAAAAAUAAAUCCCCCAGAUUGAAAAAAAUAACCCUUAUAUAAGAACUACAGUUCAAAUAAACAAAAUUUUGACAAAACUGACCCAGAAUUAACUGAUCAGUGAACCAAGUUACCCUAGGGAUAACAGCGCUAUCCAUUUCGAGAGUCCAUAUUGACAAAUGGGUUUACGACCUCGAUGUUGGAUCAGGGUAUCCUAGCAGUGCAGCCAUUGCUAAUGGUUCGUUUGUUCAACGACUAACACCCUACGUGAUCUGAGUUCAAACNNGA